GGUCUUAUGGCGCAAUUGGUUAGCGCGUCCGGCUGUUAAACAUCUCAUUCUGAAUGGUGGGAGAUUUAGGUUGAGUUUGAGAUUAAAUAUACCGGGAGGUUGAAAGUUCGAGUCUUUCUAGGACCG